GUUCUUGUAGCGCAAUGGAUAGUGCGUUGGACUUCUAAUCCAAAGGUUGUGGGCUUGAAUCCCACCUGGGAUG
rnacentral:tRNA from 1 species